rnacentral:rRNA from 1 species
UACAGAGGGUGCAAACGUUGCUCGGAAUUAUUGGGCGUAAAGCGCGUGUAGGCGGCUUGUUAAGUUGGUCGUGAAAGCCCAUGGCUCAACCAUGGAAGUGCAACCAAAACUGGCAAGCUUGAGUUCUGAAGAGGAUGGCGGAAUUCCCAGUGUAGAGGUGAAAUUCGUAGAUAUUGGGAGGAACAUCGGUGGCGAAGGCGGCCAUCUGGGAAGAUACUGACGCUGAGACGCGAAAGCGUGGGGAUCAAACAGG